rnacentral:rRNA from 1 species
UACGGGGGGGGCAAGCGUUGUUCGGAAUUACUGGGCGUAAAGGGCUCGUAGGUGGCCAACUAAGUCAGACGUGAAAUCCCUCGGCUUAACCGGGGAACUGCGUCUGAUACUGGAUGGCUUGAGUUUGGGAGAGGGACGCGGAAUUCCCGGUGUAGAGGUGAAAUUCGUAGAUAUCGGGAGGAACACCGGUGGCGAAGGCGGCGACCUGGGUAGAUACUGACGCUGAGGCGCGAAAGCGUGGGGAGCAAACAGG